AAAGGUCAUAAUUGGUUACUCUAAUGAUUCUGAAUGCACUUUUUUGAGGAGAUCAGCAAUCAUAAACAAAUGCACGCACACCAUGGAAAAGAAUGAAGACCUGGUAAGUAAGUACGUACAACAGAUGCCAUAACCACAGCGAGUGCAAAUGCUGAUCCUCCAGCACCC